rnacentral:lncRNA from 1 species
GGCGGGGCAGGGUCUUUCCAAAGCGCCUGCGCUAAACCAGCUUGUCGGCGCCAUUUUGUCUCGGCAGCGGUGGCCGUAGCUCCAUCGCAUUUUAUGUUUCUGGCGAGAAGGGAACGGAGUUUUCAUCAGGUAGAUUGGUUUUUGUGCGGCCGUCCUCCACCGUUUCCUCCAGGACAGCACCUAGUCGUGGCCGGAGGAGUCUCAGAGCUGUCAGAAAGAGUCACGCUCUGUCGCCAGGCUGAAGUCAGUGGCACCAUCUCGG